GAUGAACGCUGGCGGCGUGCCUAACACAUGCAAGUCGAACGAAGCGCCUUACCGGAUUCUUCGGAUGAAGGUCUGGUGACUGAGUGGCGGACGGGUGAGUAACGCGUGGGUAACCUGCCCUGUACAGGGGGAUAACAGCUGGAAACGGCUGCUAAUACCGCAUAAGCGCACGAGGAGACAUCUCCUUGUGUGAAAAACUCCGGUGGUACAGGAUGGGCCCGCGUCUGAUUAGCUGGUUGGCAGGGUAACGGCCUACCAAGGCAACGAGCAGUAGCCGGUCGGAGAGGAUGAACGGCCACACUGGAACUGAGACACAGUCCGAACUCCUACGGGAGGCAGCAGUGGGGAAUAUUGCACAAUGGGGGAAACCCUGAUGCAGCAACGCCGCGUGAGUGAAGAAGUAUUUCGGUAUGUAAAGCUCUAUCAGCAGGGAAGAUAAUGACGGUACCUGACUAAGAAGCUCCGGCUAAAUACGUG
rnacentral:rRNA from 1 species